rnacentral:rRNA from 1 species
UCUGAGGAAACUAGCCAGCGAUGAGGCUGGAGGAAGGUGGGGAUGACGUCAAGUCAUCAUGGCCCUUACGUCCAGGGCGACACACGUGCUACAAUGGCAGCUACAGAGGGUCGCAAUACCGCGAGGUGGAGCCAAUCCCUAAAAGCUGUCUCAGUUGGGAUCGGAGUCUGCAACUCGACUCCGUGAACGCGGAAUCGCUAGUAAUCGUGGAUCAGCCAUGCCACGGUGAAUACGUUCCCGGGCCUU